rnacentral:rRNA from 1 species
UACGUAGGGGGCAAGCGUUGUCCGGAAUCAUUGGGCGUAAAGCGCGUGUAGGCGGCCCGGUAAGUCCGCUGUGAAAGUCGGGGGCUCAACCCUCGGAUGCCGGUGGAUACUGUCGGGCUAGAGUGCGGGAGAGGCGAGUGGAAUUCCUGGUGUAGCGGUGAAAUGCGUAGAUAUCCGCAGGAACAUCCGAGGCGAAAGCGGCUCACUGGACCACAACUGACGCUGAGGCGCGAAAGCUAGGGGAGCAAACAGG